rnacentral:misc_RNA from 1 species
CAAAUGAACCACUCUAGGGUCGAGUCUCUACUAGCUUGCUGGUCUUGAUUCCUCUAGAGUAACAACUCACUGUGCACCGUAUUGUCUUUUGGGAGAUUGUGGAUAGGGUAACCAGUCCUGCUCCCAGCUUUAUCAACAUACCUAUUAAAUUAAUCUGAUUUUUUUCUAUACGAAAUAAAAA